CAAUAGCGUAUAUUAAAGUUGUUGCAGUUAAAAAGCUCGUAGUUGGAUUUCUGAUCGAGACAUCAGGUCGGGUCCGAGAGGAUCAUGUACUUUGAUUUUGUUUUGAUCAUCCUUGGGGAGAGCAUUUCUGGCAUUCAGUUGUCGGGAUUGGGAUCCUCAUCGUUUACUGUGAAAAAAUUAGAGUGUUCAAAGCAGGCCUCGGCCUCUGAAUACAUUAGCAUGGAAUAAUAAGAUAGGACUUUGGUGGUCUAUUUUGUUGGUUUGCACGCCAAAGUAAUGAUUAAUAGGGAUAGUUGGGGGUAUUCGUAUUCAAUUGUCAGAGGUGAAAUUCUUGGAUUUAUGGAAGACGGACUACUGCGAAAGCAUUUACCAAGGAUGUUUUCAUUAA
rnacentral:rRNA from 1 species